rnacentral:lncRNA from 1 species
AGAUUGUGCUUCUGGUUGAUGCCUCACAGCAAACUGGUAAGGCAGUGCUCUGUCUGCUAUUUACUUGUCGCUCUCACAUGUGUGGGUAGGUGUGUGUAGUCAACAUUGAUACCGAAUGUCCUCUGUUGCUUUCCUUCCUUCAUAUUGAGGCAGGGGCUCUCACUGAGCCUGGACCUCCUUCGAUGCCUUGGCUAGUGUGUCUAGCUAGCUUGUGUUUCGGAUUCUGUCUCUGCCUUCUGAGCUCAAGGCCCUCUCAGCUACAUUCUGAAACCCCGUCUCAAAAGAAUAUUGUAAGGACUGUAGAGACGGCUCAGUGCUUAAAACUCUUACUGUUCUUCCAGGGGUCAGGUGAUUGGCUCUCAACAGCCGUGUCAUGUGCCUCACAGUGGCCUGUAACUACAACUCCAUGGAGUCUGACACCUCUGGUCUUGUGACCAUCUGUACUCUACCCUCCCCCAUUC